GUUCACCACCUCACCAUCGCCAGUUCCCAUUGUCUCCAAAAUGUGCGUACACAUGGGUCAGAGUUUAUGUGGAGGACUGCACCAUGUGUCAGAUUUAGAG